CAAAGAGAUAUACUAACAAACAACAUUGAUGAGAAGGAGAUUCUGUUAAUAGGAGGAAGGAAAAGCAUCAAAGGUAAUUAGAUGAGGAUCACUUGAGGUCAGGAGUUUGAGACCAGCCUGGCCAACGUGGUGAAACCCCGUCUCUAAAAAGAAAUGCAAAAAUUAGCCGGGCAUGCUAGUGGGCACCUGUAAUCCCAGCUACCUUAAAAAAAAAGACAAAAAACUGUUACUAUUUAAGGUUGAGUUAGUAGACAAUAUAUAGUACAGCCAUUAAGGAAACUUCGUAGCACUUUGCUACUGCAGUUCUGGGAAAUGUUGAAUCUAGAAAUGACGAGGGAGAGCUGUUGAGGAUGCAAGACAAAACCAGGGAACUCACAGAGGAGCAAGACACCUAGGAGCAGAAGAGAGAAAAAUCCAGGAGCAAACUACAUGGGAAUGGAAAGGGGAAAUUAAUUCAGGAAAAAAUAAUAAUAUAAUGUUAAAAAAUGGGUUAUCUAUUCAAAUCUUUUCUCCACUCUAUAUGAGCUGAAAACCUUAAUUAUUAUGUAGCCUAGUGUUUUGAGCAGAAGAGCAAAAUGGAGAUAAUACUCAAGAUAGCUGGUGGUUUUAAAACUUAAAUGAGGAAAUACAUCUGAAGUUCAUUUAUUAGUUGUGGUACAGGCUAAGAUAUUGUAACAAAGCGAUCUAAAAUUGUAGUUACUUAAAAAAGAAAUAGUUGUUUUUGUUUUUAUGGGUUUUUUUUGUUUGUUUGUUUGUUUGCCACUAACAGACCAGGGUAGGUAGGUGAACUCUCCUUUGCAAGGCCAGCCCAGGACUUCAGUUCUUUCCACCCUGUCAUAUCCUACGGUGUGGUUUUCCUUUCUCGUGGCUGAAACUAGCUGAACUUCAUGUCUGUUAGGGAGGAGGCAAGAAAGUAUAGUGGUUGAAACUCAAGUUCCAGAAUCAGACAGUACCAGGUUUUGCUCAGAUCUGGGUUUUGAUGACAGGUUAAAAGGUUUGUAAAAGAAAGGUAAAAGU
rnacentral:lncRNA from 1 species